rnacentral:rRNA from 1 species
AGCAGCCGCGGUAAUUCCAGCUCCAAUAGCGUAUAUUAAAGUUGUUGCAGUUAAAAAGCUCGUAGUUGAAUUUCGAGAUCAGUACGCUGGUCGUGCCUUCGGUAUGCACUGGUGUCACUGGUUUCUCCCUUCUGAAGAACCGUUAUGUCAUUAAGUUGGUGUGGCGGGGAAUCAGGACUGUUACUUUGAAAAAUUGAGUGUUUAAAGCAGGCUCGCGCUUGAAUACAUUAGCAUGGAAUAAUGAAAUAGGACGUUUGACCCUAUUUUGUUGGUUUCUAGGAUCGACGUAAUGAUUAAUAGGGAUAGUUGGGGGCAUUAGUAUUCAAUUGUCAGAGGUGAAAUUCUUGGAUUUAUUGAAGACUAACUACUGCGAAAGCAUUUGCCAAGGAUGUUUUCAUUAAUCAAGAACGAAAGUUAGGGGAUCGAAGACGAUCAGAUACCGUCGUAGUCUUAACCAUAAACUAUGCCGACUAGGGAUCGGAUGAUGUUAAUUUUUAAUGUACUCA